UACGUAGGGCGCAAGCGUUGUCCGGAAUUAUUGGGCGUAAAGAGCUCGUAGGCGGUUUGUCGCGUCUGCCGUGAAAUCCUCAGGCUUAACCUGGGGCGUGCGGUGGGUACGGGCAGGCUAGAGUGCGGUAGGGGAGAUUGGAAUUCCUGGUGUAGCGGUGGAAUGCGCAGAUAUCAGGAGGAACACCGAUGGCGAAGGCAGAUCUCUGGGCCGCUACUGACGCUGAGGAGCGAAAGCAUGGGGAGCGAACAGGAUUAGAUA
rnacentral:rRNA from 1 species